UACGUAGGGACCGAGCGUUGUCCGGAUUCAUUGGGCGUAAAGAGCUCGUAGGCGGCUGUUCAAGUCGAACGUGAAAACUCGGAGCUCAACUCCGAGCCUGCGUUCGAUACUGGACGGCUAGAGUCUGGUAGGGGGAUCUGGAAUUCCUGGUGUAGCGGUGGAAUGCGCAGAUAUCUGGAGGAACACCGGUGGCGAAGGCGGCAUCCUGGACCGGCAUUGACGCUGAGGCGCGAAAGCCAGGGGAGCAAACGGG
rnacentral:rRNA from 1 species